rnacentral:tRNA from 1 species
GGGCACAUGGUGUAGUUGGUUAUCACGCUCGCUUAGCAUAAAACCUGCGAGAGGUGUUGGGUUCAAUUCCCAAUGUGUCCA